AGAAAAGAAAAGGGAAAUUAAGAUUUUAAAGCUUCAAGUUAAUUGCUAACAAGGAAAACGAGGCAUCGGCAUCCAAAGGAAAAGAAAAGAUCGUUGAGGAGUAAACGCGUAUUCCGGGUUGGAUAAUCUGGUGUGUUUGGGUGGAAUCCGCGUAUCUGUCAGAGUCCGAGCUUUGUUAAUAAGGUAAAUAAUUGAAAUGAAAAUUUGAAAAUGAAAUUGGUUGAUUUGACACUAUAGAAAAAUACGAGAAAGAAUGUAUGAGUUAAAUUAUAAAUUUAAUUAGUAUGUAAAUAUAUAUAUAUAAAUUUAAGAUCUAUGGAAUGAUAUAUGAAUAUGUAUAUUUAAUUUAAAGUGAUUUAUAAGAUUAUGGUCAAUAUUUGAAAUUUUAUUAUUAAAUAGUUUAAUUUAUAGUAA